rnacentral:rRNA from 1 species
AGGUAUGCUUAGGGAGGAGCUUGCGUCACAUUAGUUAGUUGGUGGGGUAAAGGCCUACCAAGACUAUGAUGUGUAGCCGGGCUGAGAGGUUGAACGGCCACAUUGGGACUGAGACACGGCCCAAACUCCUACGGGAGGCAGCAGUAGGGAAUUUUCGGCAAUGGAGGAAACUCUGACCGAGCAACGCCGCGUGAACGAUGAAGUAUUUCGGUACGUAAAGUUCUUUUAUUAGGGAAGAAUAAAUGAUGGAAAAAUCAUUCUGACGGUACCUAAUGAAUAAGCCCCGGCUAACUAUGUGCCAGCAGCCGCGGUAAUACAUAGGGGGCAAGCGUUAUCCGGAAUUAUUGGGCGUAAAGGGUGCGUAGGCUGUUAAAUAAGUUUAUGGUCUAAGUGCAAUGCUCAACAUUGUGAUGCUAUAAAAACUGUUUAGCUAGAGUAAGAUAGAGGCAAGUGGAAUUCCAUGUGUAGUGGUAAAAUGCGUAAAUAUAUGGAGGAACACCAGUAGCGAAGGCGGCUUGCUGGGUCUUUACUGACGCUGAGGCACGAAAGCGUGGGGAGCAAACAGGAUUAGAUACCCUGGUAGUCCACGCCGUAAACGAUGAGUACUAAACGUUGGGUAAAACCAGUGUUGAAGUUAACACAUUAAGUACUCCGCCUGAGUAGUACGUACGCAAGUAUGAAACUUAAAGGAAUUGACGGGACUCCGCACAAGCGGUGGAUCAUGUUGUUUAAUUCGAAGGUACCCGAAAAACCUCACCAGGUCUUGACAUGCUUCUGCAAAGCUGUAGAAACACAGUGGAGGUUAUCAGUUGCACAGGUGGUGCAUGGUUGUCGUCAGCUCGUGUCGUGAGAUGUUGGGUUAAGUCCCGCAACGAGCGCAACCCUUAUUGUUAGUUGCCANCACGUAAUGGUGGGGACUUUAGC